UACAGAGGGUGCGAGCGUUAAUCGGAAUUACUGGGCGUGAAGGGUGCGUAGGUGGUUUGAAAAGUUAGGUGUGAAAGUCCUGGGCUUAACCUGGGGAUUGCGCCUGAUACUGUUAAGCUAGAGUGCUGUAGGGGGAAGUGGAAUUUCCGGUGUAGCGGUGAAAUUCGUAGAUAUUCGCAAGAACACCAGUGGCGAAGGCGGCUCACUGGCCCGGUACUGACGCUGAGGUGCGAAAGCGUGGGGAGCAAACAGG
rnacentral:rRNA from 1 species